GAUGACGCUGGCGGCAGGCUUACACAUGCAAGUCGAGCGGGGGAAGGUAGCUUGCUACCGGACCUAGCGGCGGACGGGUGAGUAAUGCUUAGGAAUCUGCCUAUUAGUGGGGGACAACAUCUCGAAAGGGAUGCUAAUACCGCAUACGUCCUACGGGAGAAAGCAGGGGAUCUUCGGACCUUGCGCUAAUAGAUGAGCCUAAGUCGGAUUAGCUAGUUGGUGGGGUAAAGGCCUACCAAGGCGACGAUCUGUAGCGGGUCUGAGAGGAUGAUCCGCCACACUGGGACUGAGACACGGCCCAGACUCCUACGGGAGGCAGCAGUGGGGAAUAUUGGACAAUGGGGGGAACCCUGAUCCAGCCAUGCCGCGUGUGUGAAGAAGGCCUUAUGGUUGUAAAGCACUUUAAGCGAGGAGGAGGCUACUUUAGUUAAUACCUAGAGAUAGUGGACGUUACUCGCAGAAUAAGCACCGGCUAACUCUGUGCCAGCAGCCGCGGUAAUACAGAGGGUGCGAGCGUUAAUCGGAUUUACUGGGCGUAAAGCGUGCGUAGGCGGCUUAUUAAGUCGGAUGUGAAAUCCCCGAGCUUAACUUGGGAAUUGCAUUCGAUACUGGUGAGCUAGAGUAUGGGAGAGGAUGGUAGAAUUCCAGGUGUAGCGGUGAAAUGCGUAGAGAUCUGGAGGAAUACCGAUGGCGAAGGCAGCCAUCUGGCCUAAUACUGACGCUGAGGUACGAAAGCAUGGGGAGCAAACAGGAUUAGAUACCCUGGUAGUCCAUGCCGUAAACGAUGUCUACUAGCCGUUGGGGCCUUUGAGGCUUUAGUGGCGCAGCUAACGCGAUAAGUAGACCGCCUGGGGAGUACGGUCGCAAGACUAAAACUCAAAUGAAUUGACGGGGGCCCGCACAAGCGGUGAGCAUGUGGUUUAAUUCGAUGCAACGCGAAGAACCUUACCUGGCCUUGACAUACUAGAAACUUUCCAGAGAUGGAUUGGUGC
rnacentral:rRNA from 1 species